CUUACUGGUGAGACGAAGAAACCAACGGAUCCUGCACUCGUGCAACGAUGGAAGUUAGAGAACUCCAUGGUCACCGCUUGGUUAGUAAAUUCUAUGAAACCAACAAUAGGAAAAAUUUAUCUUUUCCUUCCUACUGCAAAAGAGGCAUGGGACGCGCUGAGAGAAACGUACUUGGACUCAGAAAAUCCAUCACACAUGUUUGAAAUCAAGACCCGAUUGUGGGAAACGAAGCAGGGAAACAGAGAUGUUACCGAUUAUUUCAUGGAGAUGACGUCACUUUGGCAGGAACUUAACCUCAGCAGUGACGAAGAAUGGAGCAGUGGAGACGACAGUGUGCGGUAUAGGAAGAAGAGUGAAAAUGAAAGGGUGUAUGAAUUCUUGGCUGGAUUAAAUCGGGAUCUCGACGACAUUAGAGGCCGAAUUCUUGGCCAGCGACCACUGUCAUCCCUUCGUGAGGUCUUCUCUGAGGUUCGACGAGAAGAGGCACGUCGUCUGGUGAUGUUGGUAGAAGAAUAUCAUGGACCCAGUGAAGUGUCAGCCCUUGUGAUGAAAGGAAAAUGGAUGGAUAUUAGUGAAGCAUAUGGGCCAACAUUUAAAAGCCCAGUUACUCGAAAAGGGUCGGAUAUUAGUGGAGCAUAUAGGCCAACAUUUAAAAGCCCGAUUAUUGGAAAAAAUCAAAUUACUGGACGGACCAUUGGGGUACUAGGAGUCGGGGAUAGCAAAUCGAGACAAAGACCAAUCCUACUCAAAAUGGUGUAUCCAACCCCGAACAAUUGGAACAACUCUACCGGAUUUUUUCCGGUCUUCAAACUUCCGGUCAGUCCACUCCUAAUGAUCAUUCAAGCUCCCUAGCCACCAUUUAAAAGCCCAGUUAUUGGAAAAAAUCAAAUUACUGGACGGACCAUUGGGAAAGAUAUUGGGCUAGAAAAUAAUGGGUUUGAAGUGAACUUCUGGUCAGUCCACUCCUAAUGAUCAUUCAAGCUCCCUAACCCAUAAAGGUAAUUUUUUUAAAGCCUUGUGUACCACUUCAAAAUCAAAAACUCCCUGGAUAAUAGACUCCGAAGUAUCUGAUCAUAUGACGGAUGCUUAUCAUCUUUUCUCUUCAUAUUCAACUUGUGCUGGCAAUGUUAAAGUCAAAAUUACAGAUGGCUCUCUCUCAUCUGUUGCAGGAAAAGGGACUGUCAGGAUCUCUAACUCUAUAACACUUGAAUCUGUCUUACAUGUCCCAAAGUUAUCUUGUAAUCUGUUGUCAAUUAGCAAAUUAACUAAAGACUUCAAGUGCUCUGCUAAAUUUCUUCCAUCUCACUGUACUUUUCAAGACCUUUCAUCGGGGAAGACGAUUGGCAGUGCUAAAGAGCGUGAGGGGUUGUACUACUUUGAGGAGGCUGAUGUGAGUAAACGACACAAAAUUGCUAUUUGUGAGUCUGCGUCUAUUUCUAGGGAUAGUGAAAUUCUGUUAUGGCAUUAUAAACUAGGCCACCCGAAUUUUCAAUACUUGAAACGUGUAAUCCCUUCAAUAUUAUCGAAUAAAAUUUUAGCUGAUUUUUAGUGUGAAAAUUGCGAACUUGCAAAACAUCAGUGUACUUGUUACCUAAACUCUACAUACAAACCUACUAAACCCUUUACUAUGAUCCACAGUGACUUAUGGGGACCUUCUCGAACCCCGAAUCGAACAAACACUAGAUGGUUUAUCACGUUCAUAGAUGACCAUACCAGAG
rnacentral:lncRNA from 1 species